rnacentral:rRNA from 1 species
AGUGAACGCUGGCGGCGUGCUUAACACAUGCAAGUCGAACGGAUGAAAUAAGCUUGCUUAUUUCGUUAGUGGCGCACGGGUGAGUAAUGUAUAGCUAACCUGCCCUUUAGUGGGGGACAACAGUUGGAAACGACUGCUAAUACCCCAUACUCCUUCUUAUCAUAAGAUAAGUUGGGAAAGAUUUAUUGCUAAAGGAUGGGGCUUUAUUGUAUCAGCUAGUUGGUGGGGUAACGGCCUACCAAGGCUAUGACGCAUACCUGGUCUGAGAGGAUGAUCAGGCACACUGGAACUGAGACACGGUCCAGACUCCUACGGGAGGCAGCAGUGGGGAAUAUUGCACAAUGGGGGAAACCCUGAUGCAGCAACGCCGCGUGGAGGAUGACGCAUUUCGGUGUGUAAACUCCUUUUAUAAGGGAAGAUAAUGACGGUACCUUAUGAAUAAGCACCGGCUAACUCCGUGCCAGCAGCCGCGGUAA